UACGUAGGGGGCAAGCGUUGUCCGGAUUUACUGGGCGUAAAGAGCGUGUAGGCGGCCAAACAGGUCCGUUGUGAAAACUGGAGGCUUAACCUCCAGACGUCGACGGAAACCGUAUGGCUAGAGUCCGGAAGAGGAGAGUGGAAUUCCUGGUGUAGCGGUGAAAUGCGCAGAUAUCAGGAAGAACACCAAUGGCGAAGGCAGCUCUCUGGGACGGUACUGACGCUGAGACGCGAAAGCGUGGGGAGCGAAC
rnacentral:rRNA from 1 species